AACAACUAAUGCAUAUUGGAGUUCUCUAAAUCUUUCUCUAACUAUCUAGAUUAGUCUAGAACUUGUUCAAGUACUUGGUCUAGAUUAAUCCAUAAUGAUCAUGUAAUCAAAUGUCUAGAGAGUUCUAGUGUUGCUCACUAAUGUGUGGUUAUUAAUUAACCACAUGAGGAAAGUCAGUGAGCCAAGUCGGUUGACUUGGCCUAUAUAUAUGUACUAAGCUUUGUGCAAUUAUGAAUGAAUCAUCAAUUAUCAAAACUCCUCUGUUUUAUGUUCAUACACCUCCUCUGUUUCUAACUCUUUAGCACCUCCUCUACUUCUAGUCCUAGCUCACCUAGCUCCUAAACAUCUUUUCCUAAACACAUUGUCCUAGCCCACUAUUACUAAAGCUUUCGCACCAAAUUCCAACAGUGGUAUCAAAGCCACAAAUUUUAACAUACUUACUAAAAUUUUUCCCGGGGCUGGCUUUAUAAUUGUUUUGGCAUCAUUUGUAAUUUCUCACCAGGCCUCUCUAUCCUGCUCAAAUGGAAGAACAGCUUAACUAGACCUGGUGCAAACUAAGUUCAGAUUGUCCCAAAGAUCAAGAAAUUGGAGCACCGAAAGCGAUCUCAGGUGGCUGCUGUUUUGUUUGGCUCUUGCAAAGGCUGGUAACUUUGCCCUAUAUUGAGAACAAACUCCAUCUGCAUCUUGGAUAAGCCCAUUUAGUCAAGCAUGCAUGGUUUCUAGCUAGAACACUGCAAGUGAAUGGUCAGAAAAAGUAAAAAAGUGAGAUCUCGGAAUUGCCAGGAGCAUAGGAUAGCAAAAUGUCAGUUUUGAAGUUGAGUUGAUGUAGAACGAGAUUUUAGCAAAUUUCAACAAAAAAUCUCGAAAAGAAAGAGGCGUCUGCACAUUAAGAAGAAUGAUUUGAAUAUUGAAAAUUGGUAUUCAAAUAGGCUUCUUAAUGAUGGAAUUAAUCAUAAAUUACUCUUUUGGAUAUACCGGCAUUCUCGAGCGAAAUCUUGGUUGAGAUUCCAAAUA